rnacentral:rRNA from 1 species
AUUGAACGCUGGCGGCAGGCCUAACACAUGCAAGUCGAACGGUAACAGGAAACAGCUUGCUGUUUCGCUGACGAGUGGCGGACGGGUGAGUAAUGUCUGGGAAACUGCCUGAUGGAGGGGAUAACUACUGGAAACGGUAGCUAAUACCGCAUAACGUCGCAAGACCCAAGAGGGGGAACUUCGGGCCUCCUGCCAUCGGAUGUGCCCAGAUGGGAUUAGCUAGUAGGUGGGGUAACGGCUCACCUAGGCGACGAUCCCUAGCUGGUCUGAGAGGAUGACCAGCCACACUGGAACUGAGACACGGUCCAGACUCCUACGGGAGGCAGCAGUGGGGAAUAUUGCACAAUGGGCGCAAGCCUGAUGCAGCCAUGCCGCGUGUAUGAAGAAGGCCUUCGGGUUGUAAAGUACUUUCAGCGGGGAGGAAGGGAGUAAAGUUAAUACCUUUACUCAUUGACGUUACCCGCAGAAGAAGCACCGGCUAACUCCGUG